rnacentral:rRNA from 1 species
CCGGCGCACGGGUGAGUAACACGUAUCCAACCUGCCGUCUACUCUUGGACAGCCUCCGAAGGAAGAUUAAUACAAGAUGGCAUCAUGAGUUCACAUGUUCACAUGAUUAAAGGUAUUCCGGUAGACGAUGGGGAUGCGUUCCAUUAGAUAGUAGGCGGGGUAACGGCCCACCUAGUCUUCGAUGGAUAGGGGUUCUGAGAGGAAGGUCCCCCACAUUGGAACUGAGACACGGUCCAA